rnacentral:rRNA from 1 species
UACAGAGGGGGCGAGCGUUGUUCGGAAUUACUGGGCGUAAAGGGCGCGUAGGCGGCCUUCUAAGUCGAACGUGAAAUCCCCGGGCUCAACCCGGGAACUGCGUCCGAUACUGGGAGGCUUGAAUCCGGGAGAGGGAUGUGGAAUUCCAGGUGUAGCGGUGAAAUGCGCAGAUAUCAGGAGGAACACCUAUUGCGAAGGCAGCUCGCUGGGACGUAACUGACGCUGAGACGCGAAAGCGUGGGGAGCAAACAGG